UUAAUUGAAACCAAAUAGAGGUCUAUCACUGUUAAUGAUAAUAAUGGAAUUAUACCCAAUUAAA
rnacentral:tRNA from 1 species